UACAGAGGGUGCGAGCGUUAAUCGGAAUUACUGGGCGUAAAGCGCGCGUAGGCGGCUUUGCAAGUCGGGUGUGAAAUCCCCAGGCUUAACCUGGGAACUGCAUCCGAGACUGCAUUGCUAGAGUAUGGGAGAGGGAAGUGGAAUUUCAGGUGUAGCGGUGAAAUGCGUAGAUAUCUGAAGGAACAUCAGUGGCGAAGGCGACUUCCUGGACCAAUACUGACGCUCAUGUGCGAAAGCGUGGGGAGCAAACAGG
rnacentral:rRNA from 1 species